rnacentral:rRNA from 1 species
CAGUCCCGCGGGAAUACGAAGGGUGCAAGCGUUACUCGGAAUUACUGGGCGUAAAGCGUGCGUAGGUGGUGGUUUAAGUCCGUUGUGAAAGCCCUGGGCUCAACCUGGGAAUUGCAGUGGAUACUGGGUCACUAGAGUGUGGUAGAGGAUAGUGGAAUUUCCGGUGUAGCAGUGAAAUGCGUAGAGAUCGGAAGGAACAUCUGUGGCGAAGGCGACUAUCUGGGCCAACACUGACACUGAGGCACGAAAGCGUGGGGAGCAAACAGGAUUAGAUACCCCAGUAGUCCCUGUCUCUUAUACA